CCAACCGCCCACUAUCCCUCUAUCUCACUUAACUCACGCUGCACACACAGCCCACAUGACUAAGAUCUUAGUGUUUGUCAAUUAAGAUUUUUGACCUCGAGUAGAGUGUCAUCCCAAUGUAUAGACUCUCAAUAUGUAGUUGCCACAAUAAGAUUUUUCUUCUAUCACGAUAAGCAUAAUAUGAUUAGAAUGAGUUCGUUUGUCACUAGUUCUCGAGACUAUAGACAUGGUGUUCUCACGAUUAGAAAGAUGCGAUAACAAUCAAGCUAUGUAGCCACACUGAUAAUGAAAGUCUAGUAUCCCAAACUAGAAUACCAAAUAUGCAAUUCCGAGGACGGAAUUUUUAUAAGGAGGGAGGAAUGUAACACCCCGUUUCCUCGUAGCUACAUUUAGAGUAUUUUUGAACUUAGAUUUAAGAAGAUUCACGCCGGAUUGAGAAAAAGAAUUUAUUUUAAUUCCAACAAAUGAUUUGCAAAAUCCUUUUUGUAAAUGUUAGUCAUUUAAAUUCUUAUGCAUUUCAUAUUUAUUUAAAUUGUAUAUUAAACAUUUAGCAUCUACACGAGCUAUUUAUUUAAGCAAACACUGAUCGAUUAUUACAGUUUUCAUAGUACAACCCGAAAGUUUUUUUUAUUUUAUUUUAUUACUCCCACCUACUCCCACACCCACCUACUCCCACCUACUCCCACAGCCACCUACUCCUACACAACCAUACUGUUAGUACAAUUAUAGUGAACACCUACCAACUCCAUGUUUCCAUCCCAUCCAAGUUUUGCCCACCUAUAUUCAUCUCCUCACAAUACAACAAACACAUACACAAUAACACAUCUUGACAACUUCCUCAAUGCUCAAUCGAUGCUGCCAUCUAAAAGAUACACCAACUCAAAGCCCUUCCUCAAACUAGUAGAACACUCGGGCAUAACAUCAAGAAAAAGCUCAGCCUUUCCUAUCAAGGCUUUGUGACCAGGGGGAUUAGCGCUGCUUUCCCAAAACAGGUUAUGUGAUUAUGAUCUUCAGGCUUUGCCUAAUCAGGUUGAGCUGAUGUGAUGAUAGUGCUGCAAUGAGCAGAGUCUCCAGGGUUGUUAAUAAAUAGUUAACCUGUCUAGAAUAUGUCUUCAUACAUAUGUCUAGCUACAUUCCGCUGCAAGAUGUUGUUGAUGUUAUAGUAUGUUAUGUCAUACUUUGAGUCUUAAGAGAAUGGUUUCAUAUGAUGUAUAACUUAAUUAAUGAUAUUAAUUAAGUUUUAUGUUGUCUUUCAUAGACUGUUUAAAAGAGUAUUAAUGAGUAAA